ensembl:lncRNA
CACAGACUGUAAAUUUUUUUCUUUUUUUCUGUGACAAAGGUGUGAAACAUUCAGACGUUUAUGAUUAUUCUGCUUUCUCAUUCGACUUGUCAGGGUCGCGCAUGACGGCCCGCCAUCCGUGCUCACACUGACACAGGCGGAUGCAGACAGGGACAAGCAGCCAGGGUGGGGAGGAGGCGACUCCACCCUCAGAGGUGCAGCCUUUACGUCGAGGGAGGGGUCGACCACGCAAACCGCCACAGGAAGCCACUGGUCCUCCUGCCCCAAGGAGACCCCGAGGAAGGCCCAGAGGAAGCAAGAGCAAGUCUUCUGUAGCAAAGAAAGCUGAAGCUGGGCAGAAAAGACCUCGGGGUCGUCCAAGAAAAUGGCCACAUAAAUUAGCUGAGGAUAAAGAAGAGGCUUCUCAAGAAGAAGGAGGGGAAGGACCAUCUGAAGCCCCACACAUUCAAGACCCACCUGCCCAGCCUGAAGGGUUGUAA